UACGAAGGGGGCUAGCGUUGUUCGGAAUCACUGGGCGUAAAGGGCGCGUAGGCGGCCAAUCAAGUCGGGGGUGAAAGCCUGUGGCUUAACCACAGAAUUGCCUUCGAUACUGUUUGGCUUGAGACCGGAAGAGGUAAGUGGAACUGCGAGUGUAGAGGUGAAAUUCGUAGAUAUUCGCAAGAACACCAGUGGCGAAGGCGGCUUACUGGUCCGGUACUGACGCUGAGGCGCGAAAGCGUGGGGAGCAAACAGG
rnacentral:rRNA from 1 species